UUGAUAUUUAGAAACAAAGUCAGCAAGUCCUGGAACUUACUGCUUGCUUACAAAAUCCAAGUGUUCAGACUAGACACAACAAUUAAAGCAUAAAAACAAAACAGAUAUAGUACUGCCACCGUCGAUCUAGAACCCAGUUCUGAGAACACAAGCUAAGAGAUGAAGGUGCAGACUUGACACUUAAUAUGAAAAACAAGUAAACUAGAAGAGAAAUAGAAAUACUAAGGACCAAAGACCAUUUAUUGUAAUAACUAUGAUAUGCUUCCCAAGUAAAUAGAUCAUCCUGCUCGGUUCACUUCUUCUUCAAUGCUGACUUGGUCUGCUUAAGUCCUCCACUGGGAUCCUUCUUCUCCACAGCCUUGAUGACCCCAACAGCCACAGUUUGACGCAUGUCUCUAACAGCAAAACGGCCGAGUGGAGGAUAUUCAGAGAAAGUCUCAACCACCAUGGGCUUGGUGGGAAUCAUCUUAAUAAUACCAGCAUCGCCAUUCUUCAAGAAUUUGGGCUCCUUCUCAAUCUCCUUACCAGAACGCCUAUCAAUCUUAGUAACAAGCUCAGCAAACUUGACAGCAAUGUGGGAGGUGUGGCAGUCAAGAACAGGGGCAUAGCCAUUUCCAAUCUGGCCAGGGUGAUUCAUUAUGAUCACUUGAGAUGUAAAGUUAGCAGCCUCCUUGGCUGGGUCAUCCUUGGAGUUUGAGGCAACAUACCCACGCUUGAGAUCCUUAACAGCAACAUUCUUGACAUUAAAUCCCACAUUGUCACCAGGAAGGGCCUCUGUGAGAGCUUCAUGAUGCAUCUCCACGGACUUGACUUCAGUUGUCAGUCCAGUAGGGGCAAAAGUGACAACCAUUCCAGGUUUUAUGACACCAGUCUCGACACGCCCCACAGGCACAGUUCCAAUUCCUCCAAUCUUGUAGACAUCCUGAAGUGGUAGUCGGAGGGGCUUGUCUGAAGGCCUCUUAGGCUCAUUGAUUUGGUCAAGGGCCUCAAGAAGGGUUGGACCCUUGUACCAGUCAAGGUUUGUAGAGCGCUCGAUCAUGUUAUCUCCCUCAAAACCAGAGAUGGGAACAAAUGGAAUUUUGUCUGGGUUAUAGCCAACCUUCUUCAAAUAGGAUGAAACUUCCUUCACAAUUUCAUCAUAUCUACCCUUGGAGUACUUGGGUGUAGUAGCAUCCAUCUGUUCAAGAUAGAUGCAAAUUAGUACUUAAAUAAAUGAAUUAUAAAAAUAAUCAAAUAUACAACUUCAAGGGGCUGAAAAUAUUAAAUACCUUGUUGCAACAGCAGAUCAUUUGCUUCACACCAAGAGUGAAAGCAAGGAGAGCAUGUUCACGGGUCUGACCAUCCUUAGAAAUACCGGCUUCAAAACCACCAGUAGUGGAAUCAAUGAUGAGAACGGCACAAUCAGCUUGGGAUGUUCCGGUGAUCAUGUUCUUAAUGAAAUCCCUGUGUCCGGGGGCAUCGAUGACAGUGCAGUAGUACUUGGUUGUCUCAAACUUCCAGAGAGCAAUGUCAAUGGUGAUACCUCUUUCACGUUCAGCCUUGAGCUUGUCAAGGACCCAGGCAUACUUGAAUGAACGCUUGUUCAUCUCAGCAGCUUCUUUCUCAAACCUCUCAAUGACACGCUUGUCAAUACCUCAAGAUAGAUGUCAAUUAGUACUUAAAUAAAUGAAUUAUAAAAAUAAUCAAAUAUACAACUUCAAGGGGCUGAAAAUAUUAAAUACCUUGUUGCAACAGCAGAUCAUUUGCUUCACACCAAGAGUGAAAGCAAGGAGAGCAUGUUCACGGGUCUGACCAUCCUUAGAAAUACCGGCUUCAAAACCACCAGUAGUGGAAUCAAUGAUGAGAACGGCACAAUCAGCUUGGGAUGUUCCGGUGAUCAUGUUCUUAAUGAAAUCCCUGUGUCCGGGGGCAUCGAUGACAGUGCAGUAGUACUUGGUUGUCUCAAACUUCCAGAGAGCAAUGUCAAUGGUGAUACCUCUUUCACGUUCAGCCUUGAGCUUGUCAAGGACCCAGGCAUACUUGAAUGAACGCUUGUUCAUCUCAGCAGCUUCUUUCUCAAACCUCUCAAUGACACGCUUGUCAAUACCUCCAAGCUUGUAGAUCAAGUGACCAGUGGUGGUUGAUUUCCCAGAGUCGACAUGGCCAAUGACCACAAUGUUGAUGUGAACCUUUUCUUUACCCAUUAGUUCUUAAAAGCUGAAAACCACAAAAAGAUCUUCCAAAGAAAAUAAUACAUAAGCAUGACCCCAAAGAAAGAAAAAAAUUAAAUAAAUGCUACCUGUUAACAACACACUGACUAAAAGAUUUAACAAUUCAGCAGAAAUCAACACAUAAAUAUGAACCCAAAGAAGAUGACAACAACAAAAUGUUAUCCCACUAAGUGGGUUUGGAACUAUAUGAAAUGAAUUGCCCUCACGCAGGAUCGAACUACGGACCUUCAGUUUACAAGACUGAUGCUCUACCACUGAGCUAUAAGGGCAAGUUGUAUAUGAACCCAAAGAAAAAAAAUGAAAAAAAAUAAAAUAAAAUAAAUACUAUAAUAUAGAACACACUUGGAGAAGAAAUACACAAUCCAAGUAAAAAAUUCAACAAGUAAUCUAUACAACAAUAACUAACAUAAGCAUGCUUCAAAAGAAAAAGGGACUCCACUGUAAAACAAACUUCAGUAAUCAGGCACAUAAUUUCAGCAUGAUUAUGAUAAUCGAACAAGCAUGUGUGUCAGCAACAGAUUCUAAUCUUAUCUAUUAAUCAGGCAUGCAAUCAGAUUCUUCAGCAGAUAUAACAGGUAAAACAAACUUCAGUAAUCAAGAAUAAAGUAUGACAAUAUGUCAGCAACAGAAUAUACAUCGGGCACGAAAUAUGAUGUUUCAGCAGAAUCCAGAAACAAAAAAAUAUAGAUACGCAUGUGUAUAUCAGUUAUGUUGUAUUACAUGAAUGAAUCAACAUAAAACUCGAAAAUAUGGAUCCAAAAAGUUAACACCAUCACAACAAAGUAAGACCACCUUUUAAAAACAUAAACGAUUAUCACUUUUUGUAUUCAGAAUUACAAUUAAACAGGCGCAUAAUUUCAGCAUGAUUAUGAUAAUCGAAUACCAACUCGAAGGAAAAUAUAGAAACAAAAACAAACCAAUUUCAACGAUCCUGUAAUUACACUACAACUGUAAAACUAAAUUGCGAAAAAACAGAAUCCAAGUCAAUAAUUGAAUAGCAAACAAAAGAAGUAUAUAACAAUAUAGAUUCUUAUUUUGUGUGUUUAGGUUGUGCUUGUAGAAAAUAGCAUGGUAAUAAUGUGAUGUUGAUAUAAUAAUGGCAUGGUAAUGUUAAAAUGCAUGAAUGAAGAAUGUAUGAGUAUAGAAAACCAUCAACUCCUUGAAAACUACGAUGAUUAGUAAAUAAAAGAACUAUUGGAUUCAGAAUUGCGAUUAAGCAUGUACAUGGAUGGAAUGGAAAAACAAGAAAUCGAAAAACAAAAGCAUUAUAAUGUAAUCAAUCGCAGAUGUAAAGUAAACAACACGAAUAACCUAUGAAUGAAUUGAUUAUGAAUACAUUGAUCGAUCGAUUGAUAAGAAAAGAAAUUGAAGGAUUUAGGGUUGGUUUGUUACCUUGAGACGAAGGAGAAAAGGCUGCGCUGCGGAAACCCUAGUCGAUUUGCAAGGAACAGAAUUGUGAGAAUUGAGAGGAACGGUGGGGUUUUUAAAUAAGGGUUUCAGGGGUUUAUAAACUACUCUGCACUUAGAUUGUGUCCAAAAAUAUAAUAAUGUUCAAUGUUUUUUUUUUCUUCCAAAUUUUAUUCGAUUUUACUAUGUAGUUUUAUUUUGUUUUCCUUUUUUUAUAAAUAAUAAAUAAAAGAGGUUUAAGAUGAGAUUAUGUUUCGGUCGAAGUCAAAGUAGAUGAGUCUACCAAUGGAAUCAGAGUUUAAUGAAGUCCCCAAAACAUUCAAAGAUCAUGUGCACAGACUAAGACGGUGAAGUAUCAUUUAAGACGUUCAUAGUCAGUUUAAACCUUUUAAGCAUUCGAGAAAUCAAUUAGCCUUUAUAACAUACAAGUAUUAUCGUCAAAUGCGUAAGUCCUGAAAACAAGAAUCAAUAAGAAGGAAAAUCUUUUGAACAAGAAGAAAUUAUGGUUUUACUUUAAAAAAAAAAAAAAGAAAAUUAUGGUUCUCUUGUUCUACCUGAAAACCAAUGGCCAUUAAAAUGCAAUGUGAUUGUUGUUAAUUUUGAGAGUAUAAUGCAAUGUGAUGGUUGUUAGUUUCAGGAGUAUAGUCGGCUCUUAAUUUUGGUCGCUAGACUAAUUUUUGCAGCAUUAUUUAUGACAUGUCAAAUUCAUUUAUAACGUGACAACACUUAUUAACGUGGCAACGUUUAUUACGACAUAUGGAUAUUUACGUUAGCAAAAAUAUGUCUAGUAAACGUUGUCAUAUCAUAAAUCAAUAGAACCACAUCAUCUAAAAAUGAGACGGGGGACCAAAUUUAUGAAGAAGAAAAAAAGUUAAAUAGAGGGACCAAAAAAAACGAAUUUUAAAUAGGGGAACCAAGACUUCAUUGUUUUGAAACACGGACACCAAAGUUUCAUUGUUUUGAAAGUUAACUCAUCUUCUUUCCUUCUUUCUUUUUCAUUCUUAUUUUCUCAUUGGGGGCAAUUAUGGUGUCAGGUUUCAUUGUUCAUCAUUCAUAUUGUCCUCCAAAGUUGAUUUUCGGUAUCUGCGGGAUAGUACAAUGGUCAAUAGAAAUUUUUGUAUGUGUAGUUGUGGGGAUAGUAUGAUUAGGCAAAGUGGCUUGUCCCACAUCAACUUGUAUUUCAUAUUAAUUUCGAUAUGUGAUUGUUCCCAUCUUCUUGUACUAUAGAUUUAAUUUUAUUCGUCAAGCAUGUUUAUGCUACAUAGCGUGAUUUUAACGUGAAUGUAUUAUGUAAAUUUUUUCUAUUAAUAUCUUGUGUUGUGUUGAAUUAACAAAUUUUGUUGUCAAUUUCAAAUCAUGUCAUUUUAAUAAAUUAGUUAAAUUAAUAAAUCGAAUCUACACAUAAUUGGGUUAAAUACAAUUUGAAUUAUAAUACAAAAAACGUCAAAUACUUUCUUGUUAUAAAAUUCAAACAAGAUGGAGGCGCACGAGAGAUGAGUAGGAUGGAAAAGAAAGGGUGGUUAGAAAGAAAAUAUAUAUUUUUAACCAAAAAAUCACUUUUUUAUUUUUUGUGUUUGUUUAAAAAAAAAUAAUCUGUUUUAGUUAAAAAAAAUAAAAAAUUGCCUCAAUGAAAAGCUAUUUCUAGUAGCUUUUUCAAUAUUUAAAAAAAAUAAAAUAAAAAUUCAAGUGUAAGAGCUUCAAAUCUUAAAAAAGUGAUUUUUAUGAUAGUUAAAAAACAGAAAUAGCUAGAGAUAUUUUUUAAUUUUUUAAAAUACUUUAAAAAAAACCCUAAUAGAUUCUUUUAAUUCAAAAUCUAUUUUUUCAAAGGUGAAACAACCACACAUUAUAGUACAUGUUUAGUAUCUCAGUGAUCCAUCGUGAUUUUUUAAAAGCUACACUUUGUAGCUUCUGCAAAAUCAUGGUGGGUCGCCGUGAUUCAAGCACACACACCGGGAUACCAAACAUACAAUUAUCAUGGUGGGUCGCCGUGAUUCUAGCACACCCACCAGGAUACCAAACAUACAAUUACUAGCAUAUUUUUAUUGUGCUAACGGAUGUGAAGUGAAUUACAGACAAUGUUUUAUGAAAUUUUGAUUGCAAUUAUAGGUACAAAUGUAUGUGACUUUCAAAUUGUAACAAACCAUGUUUAUUUUUUUCAUUGACACCGGCCAUAUAUUAUAGACGGAAAAUUUAUUUAAAAGUAUACUUGAGAAAAUGAAAAAACCAAACCUAAAGCAUCUCAUCAUCAUUGUUAUAGAUAGUCUUAAGUGGUAACAUACUAAACUAAAAUUGCAAACAGCGAAUUACAGUGUAUUAAAUUAUAUUGAUGAUAUUCUAAUAUACGAAAUUCCCUUGGACUCCAACGUCUAGACACUUCUCAAAACCAACUAAUGCCCAAGUCAAAAUUUUAAUAUGUUGGAUGCAGUCUACAUUGAAGUUACAAUUUGUAGCUUGGACAUAACCAAGGUGAAAGUUGCUUUUCGAUGUGAAAAAUGAAUCUCGUUACAGUUUAAAACAAAUGCGAGUUCUUUGGCAAAGAUGAUGCAAUGCAAGGGUCAAAGUGAAAAGGUUAAAGAUAGCAAAAAGUCUUCAAAAAAAUUUGAAUGUAACAUUAGGAAAACGUUAGCUACAGACAAAGACCUUUAAGAGUCAAACAUGAAAUAUGCAUUCAAACAGACUAGUUUCACAAACUGCUCACCAAAGAACCAUAUGCCCUUGGAGUAAUUUUCACCGAGGAAAAUAAAUAUUGUUCGAGCACGUUAUGGUCUCUGGGAAGGUAGAUGAAAAAAUAACUUAAUUGUAGACCAUAUAUUUGGGAGUUGCACUGAACUUCUGGUACCCUUUGAUGACUUUAUUCACUGCAUCAAGGAAGUCUUUCUCUGUUACAGUCUUCCUUCGUGCACGGAUAGCAUACAUACCAGCUUCAGUGCACACACUCCUUAUAUCAGCUCCUAGAGAGAACAAAAAGUAUAUUGGUCAGAAAAGAAAACUAAUUUUUCAUGGCAAAGAAAGCAAGUACUUAAAAGUUUUGACUAGAAAUGAUAUAAGCCAGAAUACUGAAGUACUUAAAAGAUUGAUGGUCAGAAGGAAUAAGCUAAAUUAAAAAUUGCCUAGUUGUUAAGAUGUUCUUACCAGUGGAGUUUGGGCAAAGCCGAGCUAGAAGCUCAAAACGGAUAUCCCUUUCACAGUUCAUGGUUCUUGUGUGUAUCUUGAAUAUUUGUGUCCUACUCUCUAGAUCAGGCAGGCCAAAUUCAACUUUACGAUCCAAUCGCCCAGGCCGCAAUAGUGCUGGAUCCAAAGUGUCAGGCCUAAAAUUUGCCAUUAGCUAUAUGGUCAGCAUCACAGGGGUAAAACUUUCAAACUGAAUAAAUGAAGCGUCAAAAAAUAGAAGUUGCAAACUAGCAAUGCAACCUUCAUUAUCGCAAGAGGAUGGACAGACAAUAUGAGAAAAAAAGAGCAAUUGCCGUGCUACAUGAAUUAUGGAAAAUAUGACUGAAUACAAAGAGACACUUUCAUAACAUCUACAGUGAAAUAGAGAAAGGAAAACCAAAUAAUAGUAAUAUCAACCAACCUGUUUGUUGCCAUCAAAACUUUGAUGUUUCCUCGAGCAUCAAACCCAUCAAGCUGAUUCACAAUUUCAAGCAUAGUUCGCUGAACCUCAUUAUCACCACCAACACCAUCAUCAAAUCGUGCACCUCCAAUUGCAUCAACUUCAUCAAAAAAACAACAAUGCACGCCUUUUUUGAACGGGCCAUCUAACAAGGUAACAAGUUCAAUCAAAUGAUACCAGAUAAUGGAAAAAAUGAUAAAAAACAAAGCUAUACAACAUGAAACAUCUACCUGAAAUAGUUCACGAACCAUCCGAGCCCCCUCACCAACAUAUUUCUGAACAAGUUCACUUCCAAUGACCCUUAUAAAACAAGCAUCAGUUCUAUUAGCAACAGCCCUGGCCAAAAGUGUUUUGCCAGUUCCUGGAGGACCAUAACAAAGCACACCCUUUGGAGGAUCAAUUCCAAGCUUGACAAAUUUCUCUGGAUGAAGCAUGGGAAGUUCAACAACCUUGCAGAGAAAUUAAAAAUUCAGUGCCAAUUCAUUUCCUUUGUCAUGUGAAACAUGGAAAAUUUCAAAAACUUACUUCACGCAUCUUCUCAAUCUGUUCCUUACAACCACCAACAUCAUUAUAUGUAACAUCUGGUUUCUCUUCAACUGUCAUCAUGGUAACACUUGGAUCAAUUUUUGGAGGCAGAGGAAUUUGGAUCUGAUAUUUGGUUCUAUCAACACUGCGAUGAUUAAAUAAAGGUCAAACAAACACGAAGACAAGGUAAUAAUGUUGUUACUCUUCUUUCUUAGGGUGACAUAUUAUCGUAAGAGUUAUUUUUUGGACACAUACCCAACACGCAUUCCUUCCUCUAUGUCGGUGGGGGAAACCUUGUCUCCUAGCCCAACAACAAACUGAAAUCAAAGCAACAGGAAUAUUAGACCGGGCGUAAUUUUUUUUGCAAAUCCUUGUCAUAUUAAACAGCAUAUAAACUAGUGAUAAACAAAUAUCUAUAUAAUAGAUAAAUUGAGGCUAAAUGAAAAGAUUGGUGUGACUUAUAGGCGGCACCUUUGCAAUCUGCUUCACAUUGAUAACAUAUUUGGCAUCUUCAGAGUUUGGAUUUAUAAUUUUUGUGCAUCUUGCAACCUGUUCAAUAAUUGACCAUAGUUAGGCAUUCCUACAAAUAAUAAAAGCACUUUGAACAAAUUCUACAGGAUGAGAAAGAAAAAAUUGCCUGAAGAGGCUGCUCCUCCUGCAUCAUCUGCUUAUCGGAAACAAGAUCCCACUGACUUGGUGUAGCUAAACCAGUAUCAGACUCCUUGAUACCUAUAUUACAACAGGAAGUUAACAUCUAACGAAGCGUGCAGGUCAUAACAGCAUCCAACUCAAGCAACUAGGGCAAGCCACAAUGAAUAGAACGAAAUAAAACGCCUACAUAAUAUCCAACUAUCUAGUCGUUUCUUCAGUUUAAGAUUAAAUUUGGAGAUAGAAAUAUACCUAAUUAAAGAACCACUUAUAACCAUAAAAAUAAAAAUAGACAGCGAAGGGGAAUUAGAAUAAACCACAAACCAAGAGAAAAUAUAAGAUUUAAUUUUCUUUAGCUAAACAAUUUCAACCAUCUAUAAGGCAAUAGAAAUAAACCCAAUUAAGGGACCACUUAUAACCAUAAAAAUGAAAAUGGACAGCAAAGGGGCAUAGAAUAAACCACAAUAAAAAGAGAAAAUAAAAGAUUUCAUUUUCUCUAGUUAAACAAUUUCAACCAUCUACAAUGCAAUCAAGAAAAGCAGAAACAAACUAAAUAUUAGUCGCAUACCGCACAAGUCAUUCACUUUCUUUGCCAUAUCUUUAAUUUCCUUCUCCACUUUUUUAAUGCUUGUGGAAUAAGGUCCCAAACCCUGCAUAAAGUGGAACAAAUCAACAAAGAACCAUUGAUCAUAGAAAAAGCAUUCAGUCCAGCAACUAAGAAGCCUAGCAAGGAAAGUCAGGAAUCAACAAAUGAGCAAAACAUCUCCAUAAACAUCACUAGCUUUCUGUAGAACAGAUCAAAUAGACUUUAAAAUCACAUGAUCACCACUAAAUACAUGGCUAAACACAUUAGUAGCACCUCAUUAACUCUUAAUGAAACCUAUUCAUUGGGCACACUUAGUAAUAAAAGGUUACAAAACGUUACAGCUUUACAACAUAGUAUCACAAUCUAUACCUGGACUGAUAUACACAACUGUACCACAUGUCUCAUAAUAUUUCAUGUUGACUAUCCAGUCCCCACUCAACACUGCACUAACUUGAUUGUUCAAGUCAUGCCAGCUCUCCUCGCCCGGUCAGGUCCUACCUCAUUACUAGCUUGAUUGUUCAAGUCAUACAAGCUCAGAUUUCCCAGCCACAUCCUACCUCUGCACUAGCUUGAUUGUUCAAGUCAUACUACCUCACCUCGCCCAACCAGGUCCAUCCUCGGCAUCAGCUUGAUUGUUCAAGUCAUGCCAACUCACCUUGCGCAGUUAGAUCCUAUCUCAGCACUAGCUUGACUGUUCAAGUCAUGCCUAGAAUGAAUCAACCACAUCAAACUCGUCGACAACUAAGUUGUGCAAGUGGUCCCCCUUCCAAACGCUUUACAACAUUCUGCAGCGUAGUUAUGUAAGCUACCUGUUCACUGACUCCACGUGUCCUGUACGAACAACCAAAAUCUUUGAAGCGCGUCUGGCUUCAUGUACCCGUACAAGACAACCAAUGAGAGACUCUGGAUUAUAGCUUAAUGGGCCUAGGUGACCAAAGAGAGGCCCAUUAGGAUUUAGGUCUACAAGGACUGUAAAAGGAGGCACUACUAGCUAAAAUAGUGUAUAUUAAUCUUAGUUAUCUUAGAGUAUUCUUGGAGCUCCUCCUUGUAGGAGCACUGAAUAGGUCACCUGUUGUGACUUGUGUUUACAUAUGUGAACAAUUACUAUAUCGUGAAAUGAAAAACUUUGUGCAUCCUCAUCACGGUAUAUCAACAAUUAACAUGUAUAGUUCACACUCACACAGCUACCACAAGCAUCAAUUUACACAAACCCUACCCAACAACUUUAACUCUUAAAUCCAGAAACCCUACCUCAAACUAAUUUCUUUCAUUUGAGUUGCAAAAUUUAACAAAAAGUAACGGACAUUAAUUAACAGAAUCAGAAAAAUUACCCAAAAAAUAAAAAAAUAAAAAAAAUACCACAAUUGAAUUGAAAUAGAAGAGAAAUUGGGAAACAUAGGGAUUUAGAGAGAGAAAGAGACAUACAUAGGUUUUGAGGAGAGCGAUGUCAUCCUCAUCGAGGGGGGCGGAGGGUUCUUCUCGUCUUUGAGAUCGUCUUCGUGUUCAUUAGCCAUUGCUUGUAUUGGAAUGCUUCAAAGUGCGACCAACCAGCUUCAGAUUUGAGAUUUGGCUCUUAUAAUAUAAGGCUUAUAUAGUUAUGCCACUCCUAAUGCUGCUUUUUGAACAAGAAAGAAACUCAAAUAAAAUUGGGGUGAUAUAGUCGAUUUGGUCCUCAAUGUGUGACUAGUUCUUAAUUAUAUACGUCGUUAGUUAAAAUAGUUUAUAAGUUAAAAUAGUUGUUUAAUAUUGACAUUAACUUGCCUCUUACAAAAAAAAAAAUAUUGACAUUAACUCUUUUAAUAUAAGAAUGAGAUUAAUUAAAUAUUUAUAAGGACCAAUAUGACAGUAAAUAAGUAUAUUGAGGGAUUAUUCCUCAAAAAAAGUAUAUUGAGGGACUAAUACGGAAAUAUUAACGAAAUAUUUUAUCGUAAGAGUUAUUUUGACCAACGUAGUGCAAAAUCAAAGACUUUUUAAAAUUUUAAUAUAUUGAUCGACUAUUGUGACUACUUGUUGCACAUAUAGACACCAAAAUGAAUAUUACCCCAAAUAAAAUUACUCUAAAAUUUCAUAAUAUUUUUAUUUUCUAACAUGUUUUUUAUUUGGCAUAAAUAUAAACAUUAUAUUAAAUAAAAAAUUAACUGCAACAUUAUAUUAAAUUUAAAAUAUAGAAACAACUUUUUAGUAAUUUUUUUCUUAAAAUAUCAUUAAUAUAUAAGUGAAGUUAUUGUGUCACAUUCUUCAUUUGCGCUCGAAGCUGACACACAUCCUCCCUUAAGGGUCCGUUUGGUUCGAGAUUUUUGGAGGGAAGGGGAGGGGAGAUUUUUAAUUUGAAGUGUUUGGUUCAAUUUUUAGAAGGGAAGGGAAGGGGAGGGGAGGGGAGCAAAUCUCUUUAAAAUUUUAUUGCAUUGCCAUAAUUAUCCUUAAAUUAAUUUCAAAUCUCAAUAUUAACCUUGUAACAACUUUUAUUAUUAUUAGAUUAUAUUAUUUUUGUAACAAUUUUAUUAUUAUUAUUAGGUUAUCUUAUUCUUGUAACAAUUAUUAUUAUUAUUUUGUUAUAUUUUCAUAGUCACUUUCAUGUGUCUUAUUUGUUCAUAUGCAACAAAUUUCAUUUAUCUUACAAUUGUUAAUUAAUAAGCACUAUCCAUGAUUUUGAAAAUUCUUAUGUCAUAUAUUUAAGAGCUAUGCUAUUUUUUACGAAAGUAAUUGGAAAAAAAUGCAAGGAUUACAAAGAAUUGCUCUUAUAAAAAAAAUAUUACAAAGAAUUGCUCCGAUAAAAAAAGCCAAAUAUGAUGCUUGGAGCAAAAUACAUGAGCCAGUUUAAGAUAAAAUAGCGGCUUAGAUGUGUGCUUGUCUUUGUCAGUUUCUGAAAUCGUAAAAACAAACAGUUUCUUUUAUUUAAUUAAGUUUAAGGGUAAAACGGUAAAAUACUGUUAAAAUCCCUCCCCCUCCCCUUGUGAACCAAACACACUUUUAAUUAAAAUAUCUCCCCUCCCCCUCCCCCUCCGUAAAAAUCCCUCCCCUCCCCUCCCCUCCUAAUUCUCGAACCAAACAGACCCUAAAUUGGCUCGCUUAAGCUUUGUUUGGAUUGAUGGAGUCAAACAGAGCGGAUUGAAACAAAAUGAAACGAAGUAAAACGAGACGGAAUGGAUAUAAACUUCGUUUCGUGAGAAAGUUAGCCCAAGGUACCUCUAUCCAAAACUAUUGAUUUUGAUUUAAAUAUGUGUACUGUGAAAUCUCCUCGUGUAGUUGAGUAUCACCACCAUUCUUGAAAAAAUAAAUAUGAUUUUUUGUCUAUUUAUCUUUUACAUGGAAGUGUGACAAAAAGUACACAGUGCAAAACGUAAUAAGUCUGUUUAAUGGAGGCCUAUGCAAAAAGAAGUUGAUGUUUUUAUGCUGGCUUUUUUUUUGUAUAAAAAUUAAUUCAUAGAACUAUAAACUAAAAUUGAAUAAAAAUAUUGUGGGAAAUAAUUUUAAAAAGAAUAUUGAAAUUAUAAUUUUGGACACAAUCAUAAUCCAAAUUCCCUUGACAUGACAUCGCCCAUCGAUCACAACAAUUUUAGAAUACUCUCAUUUUGAUCCCAAAAGACCUUCAUCUUGUCAUAAGUGGAGUGAGUUUGUGCUAGAAUAGUAAAAGUAUGUUGCUUACUUCUAGUUAAGCCCUUCAAAUACCUUUUAGUUUUAAAUUUGUUGGCUCCCCUAACAUUCCAAGAGAGCACACUAACAUCUUUAAACGUUGUCAUCAUAAACACCAUCAAAGAGCAAAGUAAUAUGACUGCAAGGCUUGUUUAGGAGGAAUGAUAUUUGUACAACCAUUUUGCAAUAAUUUUUGGACAACUUUCUCUCUCAUACUCACAUGACAUUCUUAUCCUCUCUCUUUCUUUUCCUCUCUCCAUUAUUUUUGAUCAAUAGAAAGAGAGAAAAACAAAGUUGUUAUCAAUUGGAUUUACAUAUAUCAUUACUCCUUGUUUAGUAUCCCAUCCCAAAGGUUUUGUAACAUCCCCGACGACUUUAAUAAUUGCCGACUGACCCUACAAACCAACACAAGUUUUUUCAGUGUGUUUUGUCCUCACUCGCAUGCUUACCGGGAAACUUCCCAGUAGGUCACCCAUCCAAAGACCACUCUAAGUCAAUCACGCUUAACUGUGGAGUUCUUAUGGAAUGGGCUACCGAAAAGAAGAUGCAUCUUGUUGAUAUAGGUAGUAUCAAACAAUUCUUCUAAGCCUUCCUUCAACCAUGUAGUCACAUACCUACACGGCCUUAGGAUCCCCUCAUUCUGAUGUGAUUCGGUUCCUCUAGAAAUUGUCGGGAGUCGCUCAUUGUCAUGCCUUGUGCACCGGCAACCACUCCCCGUCCUCGUCAGCCUUGGGUGUUACAUGCCCACCAGCUUCCGCUUGGUUCGUCCCCGAACCACAUCGUACUGGGAGAGGUCUGCUCUGAUACCAUUUUUUGUAACAUCCUUAACGACUUUAAGAAUUGCUGACUGACAAUACAAACCAACACAAGUCUUUUUAGCGUGUUUUGUUCUCACUCACAUGCUUACCGGGAAACUUCCCAGUAGGUCACCGAUCCAAAGACCACUCCAAGUCAAUCACGCUUAACUGUGGAGUUCUUAUGGAAUGGGCUACCGAAAAGAAGAUGCAUCUUGUUAAUAUAGGUAGUACCAAACAAUUCUUAUAAGCCUUCCUUCAACCAUGUAGUCUCAUACCUACACGGCCUCAGGAUCCCUCUCAUUCCGAUGUGAUUCGGUUCCUCUAAAAGCUGUCGGGAGCCGCUCAUUGGCAUGCCUUGUGCACCGGCGACCAUUCCCCGCCCUCUUCAGCCUUGGGUGUUACAGGCUUUUAGUCUAAUAAACUACAUUUACACCUUCAAGAAUCAAAAUAGUCGUCAUAACAACCUCCGUAUGGUUUUGAGUCUCCAAUGUAUCGCUUUUAGGUUUCCCAGGAUAAUAAAUUUCCUUCUUUUUUGAAUUCAACGAGACUGGUUCAACCAAAUGAGAUAAUUGAGUGGAAUUCUCUUAGACACUCACACCCUGUGUAAAAUUAGAAUUAGAAUUUCAAUAGGUUGGGGAUCGAUGGAAUUUAGUGCAACCUUGUCCAAAACGCUCGUUUAUUUCACCUGUUGGCGAAUCUUGAAAAGAGUCAGCAUUCUCCAUCCUCAUGUUUUUUAUUUCCUUUUUAAAUGUAAUGAAACUCAUUAUCUCCCUUUUCAAGCGUUGUUUUCAGCAUGCGUAAAUUUUUUCAAUAACUGCGUUAAUAUGUUGAUCGCGCCUUCACCAAAAUUCUAAGGCUGCAUGGUUGAACACUAUAUGCGGUUGGCAAAGGUAUUGGACAGAACACAAAGUUUUGAGUCUCGUGGUCGUAUCUUUCAUAAGCUGAGAAAUAACGCAGAGUCCUUCAAACACCACCUGGUACCGGUAUCCAUCCACCCAUACUUCUACCAUGACAAUCUCUUUAAGAUCAAUCUCAACACAAAUGUGUGCGAACCUUCCUCUUUAAUGUAUCACACUCCACAUUGUACGAAUAUUCAAAUAGCCAUAAUAUCUUCGGUCUACGAUUCACACAUGCCCUUGAAUACAUUUUCAUCAAGGUAAACCUUCAAUAGUAGUCUAUCCCCAUUUUCAUGCUCUAUUAUCCUUAAGAUGAUUGAGAUCAUCACAGUGGCGGAGCCAGAAAAAAGAGCAUGGGUGGGCCAUUAAAAGUUUGACUAAAAAGCUCAGGUACUUUAAAAAAAAUAAAUUACAUAGUUUACUACUUCUAUAAAUUACAAAUCUUUUUUUUAUAAUACAACUGUUAAUUUGAGGAAUUUUCAGAUGACAAGACAAUAUAAAGGAGAUUUGAAACCCCAAAACAUUAAAAUGUAGGUUAAAGUACACUUUUUCCCCCUAACUUUGAAAAACUUGCAAUUUUGACCCCCUAAGUACAAAAACUACAAUUUUAGCCCUCUAAGAUUUAGCCCCUUUACAUCUUUGAUCCUUUUGGUCAAUUUUGACUUAUUGAACGUGGCAGGCCACGUGUGUAAUUAAUUUAUUAAAAAAAAAAAUUCAAUUUUUAAAUUAAAUAAAUUAAAAAAAAAAAUUAAAAAAUCAGAAAAAUAAUUUUCAUAAAAACCCAACAAUCAUCUCCCCUUAAUUUUAAACAAUUUUCAUAAAAACGUACAAUUUUCACAAAACCCAACAAACCCAGAUAAAACAACAUGUUAAUUGGAAGAAGAAGCUUGAUCGACGACCACCACCACCUGCUUCUCUAGCCCGACAAUACUAUACUGUUAUUAACUUUCUUAAUCUCAAGCCCUAUUAUGCUUUUCCUAAUUGAGGACUUCAUUUAGAGACUUCGUUGCAGAUGUAAUUUUCACGCCCUGCAAUUUGUUCCAGAAUACAAGAAACUGCUUGGUUGCUUCUUAAGAGGUUGCGCGGGCAUGCAGGUCUUAUUGGACCAUUGGAUCGGCAUCUUGUUGGUCCAUUUGGAGAAUUAAAUUUGGAGAAGAGUGAAAAAAGUUCCAAGAAAGCUUCAAAAUACUUGGCUUUACAUCUCAGAUUUGAAAUUGACAUGGUAGCUCAUUCCUUAUGUGAAUUUGGGGGAGGUGAAGAAGAGAGGAAAGAAUUGGAAGCAUAUCGUGAGAUCCAUUUUCCUGCACUGGCAUUGAUGAAAAAUACUACAAAGUAUGUAUCACAAUUUUUUUAUCUCAACUAGUUCUUCACUUAUACUGGAAACAUAUCGUGACCACCACCACCCUUGCGAACCCUUGUUCUUCCUUCAUCGAAAUUCUCCUCGUCUUCGUCCUCUUCGUCAUCUUCGUCAGUGUUAUUUUCGGGUUCGUUGUUGGGAACGACGUCGGAAGAGCAAUUGACGGUGGAGGUAAGUUCGGAAUAGAUGUGGUUGGAUUCUUCUUGGUCUUCAAGAGGAAGAAGAAGAAGCCAUUUGAAUUGGAAGUCAAAAGAAUGAAUUUUUUUUUCUUCUGAUUUUUUAAUUUAUUUAAUUUAAAAAUUGUUUUUUUGGUUUUUUUUUUAAUAAAUUAAGUACACAUGUGGCCUGCCACGUAGGCGUUGAAUAAGUCAAAAUUGACCAAAAGGACCAAAGAUGCAAAUGAGCUAAAUCUUAAGGGGUCAAAAUUGUAGUUUUUGUACUUAAGGGGUCAAAAUUUCAAAUUUUUGAAAGUUAGAGGGGGUAAAGUACACUUUAGCCUAAAAUGUAUGUAAACCUCCGCUACCCAACCAAGUAUAAGCAUGACAAAAAUCACAUAUGUCCAUUUUAUAGAACCGCUGAAAACCCAAACCGUUGAAAAAUUGUUUAAAACCCCGUAAAAUUGACCUAUGAUAUUUAAUUUUUUAAUUUACUAGGUGGACCACUACAACAAUUAAUGGGGAUUUAGAUUCGUUGACCACUAAAACCGUAGCAAAAUUGUUUAAAAUCUCGCAAAAUAGACCUACGAUCGUUAACUUUUUGAUUUUUUCGGGUGGGCCCCCAACCCAUGAAGGACUCCAUCCUUGGAUCAUAACCUGCAUCAAGUGGUUUACAAAACAUUGCAUGUAGAGAUGGACACUGGUUUCCACAGAGAACACGAGCAUCAUAGUCUCUUCUUGUUUUCACAUAUUUUCAUGUUAUUGAUUCUUGUUUUAAGGAGUAUACACAUUCGACUGUUAUUGAUUCUUGUUUUAAGGAGUAUACACAUUCGACCGUAAUCACCGAAUACGUGAAUGCAGGGUGACUGCUUGGAGGGCUCAUAUUAGCUCUAAGCGUCUUAUUUGAUUCUUCAAGGCCUUUGCUGGUCCACAUGAUGUUUGGAUGCUUUUAGCCAUAGUUUUAAAACUCGGGCCAUUUAUUGGAUAAGCCAGUCUGGUUCAUUUAUUGGAUCGAUUAUGUUAUUGACUCGCUACGAAACGGUGCAACUCGGCCAGAACCGGAAUAAACCGGUGACUCAGUGGUCUUCUCGAACCGGCUGGGUCAACACUUUUGACCGUUUUUUUUUUACAAAACAAGGGUCUGUUAUAUUUUAGGGUUAAUAGUGCUUUUCACCACUGUAAUAUAGGCCAUUUCUAGUUUUCGCCCGUAUAAAAUUUUCGGUUUGAUUUGCAUCCUUGUAAAACUUUUUUUUUUCCGGAAAACACCCCUCCUCCAUCCAACUCAUCAAAUGCGCAUAUGUGGCGCUGACAUGGUUUUUUUUUUUUUAUAUAUUAUUAAUUGUCUACAUCAGAUUUUAUUUUUUAAAAUAUUUGAAAAUUAAUUUUCAAAAAUAAAAAUAUAUUCAGAUUUUUUUCCAUAAAAUUUAAAAAUCGAAAAAAAAAGUUUUUUUUUUUCAAAUAUUUAAAAAAUCAGAAAAAACGAUAAGAUUUUUUUGAAAUAUCGGUUUUUUUUUUUAAAUUCAAAUAUUAAAAAAUCACAAAAAAUUAGAAAAAACAAAUUCGAGGUUUUAAAAAAAAGUCAUAUUUUUUUCCAGAAAAAAAAAAAACAGUUUUAAAAUUUUUCUACAAAAAAAAAUUAUGGAAAAUGUUUUAUUUUUAAAAAUCUGGAUACAAUUUUUUAAAAAAUUCAGAUUUUUUUUUCGAAAAUUUUAUUCCAGAUUUUUGUAAUUUUUUUAAAUAAUAUGGAGUUUAAUUUUCAAAAUAAAAAAUUUUAAAUUAGAAAAAACAAAUUCGAAUUAUUUAAAAAAAAAGUCAUAUUUUUUUCCCGAAAUAAAAAACAGUUUUAAAAUUUUUUCUACAAAAAAAAUUAUGGAAAAUGUUUUAUUUUUAAAAAUCUGGAUACAAAUUUUUUAAAAAAUUUAGAAGAAAUUCAGAUUUUUUUUUCCAAAAUUUUAUUACAGAUUUUUAUUAAAUCAUUUUUGAAAUUAAAAUUUUAGAAAAAAAUUAUUUUCUAAUUUAAACAAAAAAUAAAAAAUUUGGAAAAUAUUUUUCAUAAUAAAAAAAAUCCUGAACUUUUUUAUUUUCAAAAAUUAAUUUUCAAAUUUUUAAAAUUAAUUUUAUUUCUAAAUUAAUAUAAAUGAAUUUAUGUUAUAAUUUUUUUAAAAAAAUAGUCACAAAUGCCACAUUUAGCCUUAGAAAAAUAAAAAAUAAAAUUAAUUAUACAGUCAGCACGCCACAUAAGCAUAUAUGCACAGUCAACAUGCCACACAGUGUACCACGUCAGCAAAUAUGUACAGUCAUAUGGGGGAGGGGUGUAACGCCCACUUUCGUUUAAUCGUUAUUUAAUCGAGUUUAGGCCAUUAUAUUAUAAUUAUAUAGUAUAUGCAUGAUUUUGAUAUGUUUUGAUGAUUUGUGGUGAAUUUAGUGAUUUGAUUGAUGACGUGAUAAGUUAUGAGUUUUGGAGGAUUUGAUUAUGAUAUGAGAAUUAUUUUAUUGAUAAAUAGAAUAAAGAUUUGAAAAUAAUAUAAAAUAUUUAGUUGAGGGCUGUUUUGAUAUUUUAGAUAGUUUUGGGGGAGAAAGUGAGAUAAGAUAAGUAUUUUAAGAGGAGAUAUAAAAGAAUAGACCUAGGUUUAGAAAAAACACUUUGUACGUGAAAACUUUUGGAAAAGGGAGAAAAAGCUUAGAGAGGAGCAAGAGACCAAAGAGGGCUGCGAUUUCUUCAUAACCAGGUAAGGGUGGGACUAAUAACUCAGUAACAUUAAUCUCUGUAAUUCUGAUGAUUAGUUGACAAAGUUAGGAUUGAUUUAGAGAAGUUUUGGAAUUAGGUCAAAACCCUAAAAUUUGAGAAUAAACGGUAAAACUUGUUUAGAUUGAUGAAAGAACCGUCCUUUAACCUUAGAAUAUGUUUAGGAUGAAUUCUGGAAUCAAAACCAAGCUUAGAACCAUGUGAAUCGACGGAUUUUUGUGUUUUUAGGAAGCCUGGCCGUAGCGACAUUCAUCGCUCGCCACGGCGAGCUAUGAUCCUCGCCUCGCGAGUGAUGAAGUUCAUCGCUCGCCACGCGAGCCUUUUCCCUUCGCCUCGCGAGUUGUUUGGUGCAACUCGCCAUGGCGAGCAACCCUUCCUCGCCUCGCGAGCUUAGGCAGAGUGCAUGUCAUAUUUUGUAGUUUCGACUUUUUAGUUGGACCUUGAGUGCCUUUAAGUGCCUAAACAUACCUAGAGAUGAUUAGGAAUGAUUUUAGGACAGGAUUGAACCCAAAACAACAUUAGUUGGGAAUUUGAGUGGUACUCGCCAUGGCGAGUGAGAACUCUCGCCUCGCGAGCAAGUCCAGAAUGUAGCUGUUUGAGUGGUUGUGCGAUCUGUGUCGCACCUUUUGAUCAGGAGUGAACCCCUAAUUGGUAAUGAAACCUUAUGAUAACGUUUAAUGCAGUCUGUAAAGCUAUUAAGAUAUGUUGAUAUUAAUUGAGCAUGAUUAAUGUAUUAUGCAAUAUGUGAGAUAUAAUGAAACGAUUAUGAUUCUAUUGAAUUGCUGUUGAUAUAUUGAUAUCUCCCUGCUGAUAUGUGACUUGACUAUGCUGCUGCUGUUAUUUAACUGAGUAUGCAAUGUUUAUUUAUGAAUAUAAUGAAAAUGAUGACGUUUCGCUUCAAGUUAUUGAAUGCACAUGAUUACGAUGUUUUGUUGUUAAGAGUCCAUGCAUAGCAUAUCAUUGAGCUUAGUCCUCACCACGUUUUAUUAGGAGCUUUGUCCUCCGCACGAUUAUUAGGAGCUUUGUCCUCCGCACGAUUAAAGUAUAUUUAUACUUAUGAUGACGAUUGGUACCACAUGCAUAUACGGAGUCUAGGAGCAUUGUCACAUUGUCAUGUCUAUUAUGCUUUGUUGAUGAUGAUUGAUUAUGUGAUUACGUGAUAAUGUUAUGUUGUUGAUGAUGAUUGAUUAUGUGAUUACGUGAUAAAUGCUUAUUAAGGAUACAAUGAUGAUUAUGUUUAAAAUGAUUAUGAUCAAGAUUGAUUAGGAUGUUAAUUUAUGAUUCUUAAUUGCAUUGAUUAACGCUAUUCUGUUAUGAAAUCUCACCCCUUCUGUUUGAAUGUUACCUCGACCGUGGGUAACGUGCAGGUGAUCGAGCUUAGUGUGCUGUUUCCGUCGUGAGUGGCCUUGCCUUCACUGUGUCGUCUAGGUCGCUCUGAUACGUAACGGGAUGGGGCUUUAUGAUUAUGCAUGCUUCAUUCUAUUACGUGACUUUUAUGCUGUUUAUGAUUAUGAACUAAUUUCUUUUAAGAUUUAAGAUGAGGCCUGCGUGCCAAAACGUUUUAUGACUAUGACAUAAUUUCCACUGCGAUGUUUAAGAUAUUUGGUUAAAUCAUUAUUUAACUGUUUUUGGAUUACGUUUAUGUGAUAUCCCGUUGUUUACGAUGCUUACUCUGAUAAAUGUCUUAAGAAAAUUUCAUAUUGGGAAAACGGGGUGUUACAAGGGGUGUUUUCCGAAGAAAAAAAAGUUUUACAAGGAUGCAAAUCAAACCGAAAAUUUUAUAAGAGCGAAAACCGAAAAUGACCUAUAUUACAGGGGUGAAAAACACAAUUACCCUAUAUUUUAAAAAAAAAUUCUAUUUUGGCCAGGGAAUCGAACCAGCAAACAGUAGCAAAAGAUAUACAAUGAAAUACCAAGAGCUUUUUAUUUGUUAUAUUAAUAGCAUAUUUUUUUGUAAAGAAUAAAAAUAGCGUAAUUUAUUUUUAUGAAAAUCAGUUUUAUACUUAAAAUUAUUUUUUUAUUUGAUUGGUAAUUGUAUCAUAGUCAAUGGAUUAAAUUUAAAAAAUAAUCUUGUGAAAUUAUGUUACUUUUAUAAGUGUAAUAAUAUUUUUUUAGAGAACAUAAUCAUAUAAUGGAAUACAAGAUUUUCAUUAUAAAAAUCGAGUGACACGAUCGAGUCAAUCGAUUUAAUUCGAUUCAUUCAUGCGGUACGACCAGUAACCCAGUGGUUCGACCAUUGACCCAAUGACCCAAUACACUUACCGAGUCGAUCACCGGUUCGAGUUUUAAAACUAUGCUUUUAGCCCUUAUUGGUCAUUGACUUUAUUAAUCGACUUUGAAUAUGAGGAGCAUCAAUUUAGUGAGAAACACUUUUGUUUUUUAGUCCCUACAAAAUUCAACAUUUUUGUAUUCAGUCUCUACAAAAAUGCUAUUCUAUAUUGAUCCUUAUUUCACAUUACAAGGACUAACCGUACAACUAUCUUUGAUAAAAGUUAUUUUUUACGAGCUUGUAAAAGAGUCCUAAAGUCUUCUUUGACGGAGACGGAGGCACAAUCUCAUACUAAAUAUAUUCUAUAAAAAAAAUAAAACAAAAUAAAAGUAUAAAGUAAAAUUGAAUAAAAUUUAUGUAGGAAAUAAAUUUGAAAAAAAUAUUGAAGAUUAUUAUAUACUUUUUUUUUGAAGGAAGAUUAUUAUAUUUUUGGACUGCAUCUAAGAAAAUAAUCCACAGAGUACGUAGUUUAUAAACCCUUAUAUAUAAACCCUACUACCGUUCGUUCCUCUCUACAAACUCUCACAAUUCUCAUUCCUUGCUAGGGUUUCAGCAGCGCAGCGCAGCCUUUUCUCCUUCGUCUCAAGGUAACAAACCAACUCUAAAUCCUUCAAUUUCUUUUCUUAUCAAUCGAUCGAUCAAUGUAUUCUUAUCAUCAUCGAUUCAUUCAUAGGUUAUUCGUGUUGUUUACUUUACAUCUGCGAUUGAUUACAUUAUAAUGCUUUUGUUUUUCGAUUCAUGCACAUGUUUAAUCGCAAUUCUGAAUCCUAUCGUUUUUUUAUUUAUGAAUCGCUAGUUUUAAAAUAGUUGAUGGUUCUGUGUUCUCAUAUAUACUUCAUUCUUGCAUUUUAACAUUACCAUGCCAUUAUUAUAUUAUCGUAAUGUUUUUUUUAGUUGUUAUUAUUACAUACUUGUUUGUUUGGUAUUCAAUUAUUUGGCUUGGAUUCUGUAUAUUUUUUUUGUCUUUGUGUUCAUACCUAUGUAUAUGGUUUUCUAUUUGUUAUGACUUAUGAAGGUAUUACUUAAUUAAUUCAUGUUUGGGAUUCAUAUAUUCCCCUAGGUUUUUUUGUUGUUUUGCUAUUUGAUUCACAUCACUAUUAACAUAACAACAGACAUAUAUUUGAUUCAUAUACUAUUAACACUAAUAGACUCAUAUAUGAUAAUUAUGUGAUUUUUGAACUGUGUUGUGUACAUGCCAUAAAGAUUUUAUCCAAUGGGGGAUGUAGCUCAUAUGGUAGAGCGCUCGCAUCACUUAGCAUGCGAGAGGUACGGGGCUCGAUACCCCGCAUCUCCAUAAUUCACUUUAAACUGAUGUUUGUUUUCCGAUCAUGUCGUGCCUGCUCUGUAUCUGCUGAAAUAUAGUGACAUGGUAUGUGCUUUUUGAUUUCUCAGAAUGUUGCUGCAAUUUUACUGUUUAGUACUCAAGUUUAUUUUACUUAUGAAUUGUUUUCUGUGCUGAAAAUAAUGGCAGAUCUUUUUUGUGCUUUUAAGCUUUUAAGUCCAAAUGGGUAAGGAAAAGGUUCACAUCAACAUCGUUGUCAUUGGCCAUGUCGACUCUGGCAAGUCAACCACCACUGGUCACUUAAUCUACAAACUUGGAGGUAUUGACAAGCGUGUCAUUGAGAGGUUUGAGAAAGAAGCUGCUGAGAUGAACAAGCGUUCAUUCAAGUAUGCCUGGGUUCUUGACAAGCUCAAGGCUGAACGUGAAAGAGGUAUCACCAUUGACAUUGCUCUCUGGAAGUUUGAGACAACCAAGUACUACUGCACUGUCAUCGAUGCCCCCGGACACAGGGAUUUCAUUAAGAACAUGAUCACCGGAACAUCCCAAGCUGAUUGUGCCGUUCUCAUCAUUGAUUCCACUACUGGUGGUUUUGAAGCCGGUAUUUCUAAGGAUGGUCAGACCCGUGAACAUGCUCUCCUUGCUUUCACUCUUGGUGUGAAGCAAAUGAUCUGCUGUUGCAACAAGGUAUUUAAUAUUUUCAGCCCCUUGAGGUUGUAUAUUUUAUUAUUUUUAUAAUUCAUUUAUUUAAGUACUAAUUGACAUCUAUCUUGAAUUCAUUUAUUUAAGUACUAAUUUCCAUCUAUCUUGAACAGAUGGAUGCUACUACACCCAAGUACUCCAAGGGUAGAUAUGAUGAAAUUGUGAAGGAAGUUUCAUCCUAUUUGAAGAAGGUUGGCUAUAACCCAGACAAAAUUCCAUUUGUUCCCAUCUCUGGUUUUGAGGGAGAUAACAUGAUCGAGCGCUCUACAAACCUUGACUGGUACAAGGGUCCAACCCUUCUUGAGGCCCUUGACCAAAUCAACGAGCCUAAGAGGCCUUCAGACAAGCCCCUCCGACUACCACUUCAAGAUGUCUACAAGAUUGGAGGAAUUGGAACUGUGCCUGUGGGGCGUGUCGAGACUGGUGUCAUAAAACCUGGAAUGGUUGUCACUUUUGCCCCUACUGGACUGACAACUGAAGUCAAGUCCGUGGAGAUGCAUCAUGAAGCUCUCACAGAGGCCCUUCCUGGUGACAAUGUGGGAUUUAAUGUCAAGAAUGUUGCUGUUAAGGAUCUCAAGCGUGGGUAUGUUGCCUCAAACUCCAAGGAUGACCCAGCCAAGGAGGCUGCUAACUUUACAUCUCAAGUGAUCAUAAUGAAUCACCCUGGCCAGAUUGGAAAUGGCUAUGCCCCUGUUCUUGACUGCCACACCUCCCACAUUGCUGUCAAGUUUGCUGAGCUUGUUACUAAGAUUGAUAGGCGUUCUGGUAAGGAGAUUGAGAAGGAGCCCAAAUUCUUGAAGAAUGGCGAUGCUGGUAUUAUUAAGAUGAUUCCCACCAAGCCCAUGGUGGUUGAGACUUUCUCUGAAUAUCCUCCACUCGGCCGUUUUGCUGUUAGAGACAUGCGUCAAACUGUGGCUGUUGGCGUCAUCAAAGCUGUGGAGAAGAAGGAUCCCAGUGGAGGACUUAAGCAGACCAAGUCAGCAUUGAAGAAGAAGUGAACCGAGCAGGAUGAUCUAUCUACUUGGGAAGCAUAUCAUAGUUAUUACAAUAAAUGGUCUUUGGUCCUUAGUAUUUCUAUUUCUAGUCUAGUUUACUUGUUUUUCAUAUUAAGUGUCAAGUCUGCACCUUCAUCUCUUAGCUUUUGUUCUCAGAACUGGGUUCUAGAUCGACGGUGGCAGCGCUCUAUCUGUUUUAUUUUUAUGCUUUAAUUGUUGUGUCUAGUCUGAAACUUGGAUUUUGUAAGCAAUCAGUAAGUUCCAGGACUUGCUGACUCUGUUUCUAAAUAUCAACUCUUUAUUUUUGUUUAUUUCUUGGUGUGAUGUUUAAGCUUGUGCUGGGGAAUGUCUAUGUUUUAGGCAAUAUCGUUGCCAAGAAUGUCAGGAUCAUUUUUGAAUGUCAAUUGCACAAUGUCCUGAUCGUUUACCUUAUUAUAUAUGAAACUAAACUCAAGCAACAAGAAACUAGUGAACCUGCUAUCUAAAGUUUGUGGCUUAGGCAGUAGCAUAUCCGCAAGACCUUGGUUCAAUUCAAACUAUUGGAACAAGAAACUAGUGAGCCUGCUUUUAAACUUUGUGGCCUAGGCAGUAACUUAUCCGCAAGACCUUGGUUCAAAUCAAACUAUUACAUUUUAGUAAAUUAUAAUCAUAAUCAUAUGUAAAAUAAUAGGAUCCAGGAUAGAUAAAUUAUUUUCGAAGCUCCCAACUGAUGGACCACUACAUUUUUGUCUCUUAGUACAAUGAACAAAUAAAUAGGAAAUUCAAUCCUGAAUAAUGAGAUCAAAACUUGAUAAUCACUAUUUAACUUAAUGAAGCUCUCCACAACAAACUUAGAGUCAAGGUAAAAGAUAAUGUCUAAUCUCCUCUCCAAUCUACAAAAUAGCUAAUCAUAAUUCUUUCAAAUUGUUUCUGGUUUUAAUGUUCCCCGUUUAUCUCUGUUUAGAAAAAAGUUCUCCCAUACUAAAUUUUUUUCCUAUACUAUUUGUUGUUUCUCUAGUAUUUUUAAUUCAAUGUAUAAAGUAGAACUUAUCUUCUUCUUUUUUUGUUCAAGUUAUAUAAAAUUGUUUCUCACUCUACAUGUCCCUUUUUGUCUCACCUCUUUUCUCUCAGGCGUGUUUGUUUCAAGGUUAAGAAUGACAUUAUCGGAAAUACAUGGCUAGGGAAUGAUUAUACCCAUGUUUGUUAUGAGGUUGAGAAAAAAAUAUUCCUGGUAUAAAGGUUCCUGGGAAUGGAGUAACUUCCCAUAACUUCCAUCAUUCCCAUGUAAAGAGAUGGGAAUGUGCAUUCCCAUGAUAUUAUGCAUAGAUUUAAAAAAAAAAUUGUAACUUCCAAUUUUUUCAGAAAUGUCAAAUUAUUUGCCAAACAUUUUUUUUAACAAAUACCCAAGAAUCAAAUUUUCAUAUUUUCAUUCCCGAGUAUGUUAUUCCUGGGAAUAAUUUGUGUUUUUCAAAAACAAACGCUCAGUAAUUUUUUUAGAGGAUUUCUUAUCAGUAAUUUAACAAUUUAUUAUUUUCAUUUUAUACUGUAUACCAAAUCUUCUUCAAUAUUUAUUAUUAUUAUUGUUAUUGUUACUAUUAUCAUUAUUAUUUAAUUUAUCCGAUCAUUCUAACUCAUACUCUAUUUGUUCACAUAUUUACUUGAUUUAACUCUAAUACUGUAGUAAAAGACAAAAAAAACUGAGAAGAUAUAGCAUUCGUGAUCUUCUUGCGAUGUUGUUUUUCGCUAUGUUAAGUAUUUAGAAGAUUACUCUCCUAGCUUUACAUGACAAUUCACAAUGGUCUUAUAAGGUUUUUUUGAUUGAGUUAAAUUUAUUUUUACAAAAUCGGUCUUUAUAAACUCUAGUCAGACUUUAUCUUUGUUCAACGUAAGGCUUGAGUUUUUCUCCGAUGAUAGAAAAAAGGAUAUCUCUAGAGUCUAGACUGCCUACCAUUCGUACUUGUUGGGAGGACUAUUGGUUACCAUUUCAUAAUGCCUUCAAAGUUUGGUCUCCUCGUAACCAACCGUUUGAAGUUAGUUUGAUCUCUCAUCUUAUAUAUCCUAACAUCGCUUCUUGGAAUUUCCAACUCAUUGAUGAGAUUUUACUACCAUUUGAAGCAAUGCAAAUUCUCCAAUUACCCUUAUCAUCCUAUGGACAUGCUGGUGGCAUCACUUGGUGACCAAAUAAAAGGGGGAGUUCACUUUUUAACACGAGACUUGGUAUUUAUGGAAAGAUUUUGACAAAAUUUUAGACUCUGAGACGAUGAAACCAAAGUAAGUUGAAGUAUCUUUAGUAUCCUUCAAAGAUUUCACCACAUAAAGAGAAUCACCUUCGGCUUCUAUAUUAAAAAAACCAACUCCAAUGAAAUUCUAAGCCAAGGCGCAUAUAUAGCCAAUCUGGUACGACCUCAUUAAACGAAGUCGCAGCUGCAUAUAGAGUGCUGUUUUUAUCAAGAAUCACAGCUCCAAUUCAAUUCCUCACUUAUCAUGUAGUGGACCUGCUGCAUCAACAUUUAGUUAAUGCCAUAGUUUUGAGGAGAUUUCCAGCUAACAAUUGGACGAGUUUCAUCUAGGGGUGUGCAUAAAAACUGGAUCAGCUGACCCAAACUGAAAAUUUGGUGAACCAAAUUAGAAAAGCCCAAACCAUUUUCAUUUGACCUGAUCCAGUUCAUUUUAAUCCAGAUUAAAACGGGUCGGUUGCCAAAUAAAACGGGUCGGUUACCCAUUUACUAUCUCAAACCUGAAUUUUCACAAACCGUAAAAAGCAAACGCGAUUCCAUUCCAAAAACGCAAACGCGAUUCCAAACCGUAAAACGCGAUUCCAUUCCAAAAUCUUCAAAACGCAAUUCCAAAAUCUCCAAACGCCAUGUAGACUGUCAUUGGGGGAAAAAGCGAUUAUCACAGAAUCUGAGGUAAUCACCGUCCUUCUCUUUUCUACCCUAAUCAACAAUCAUACCUUUCAAUCGAUCUACAACAUCCUUUUUACUGUUCAUUUUGUUCUGCAAUUUAUUCAUCCAAUUUUGUUUCUGGGUUUUCGAUUUCUGCUAGUAUAUUUACUUGGGUUGGUUCUACUUCACUGUAUUCAUGCUUAAAUUUGCGUUUUUUUAUUUGAUUUUCAUUUUUGGGGUUUUGGGCCAUAUUAUUUACUUGGGCCAUAUUCAUUUUUGGGGUUUUGGGGUUUAUUUUUCAUCAGAAAAAGAGUAUGACUUUAUGUGUUAAUAUGCUUAUGUUUAGGGUUUUGAUCUGUGUUUUAGUCUUUUGGGGCUGUGAAUAAUUUGAGCUGGAAUAUGCUUCUUAUCAUGAUAACUUUUUGCAUGUCAUAUUUGUGAGUUUAGAUUUUAUAGGAAGAACUUUGAAUUAUUCUCUCACUUUUUGCACUAUUUUAUGUUUAUAGAAUCAUUGCAAGAUGACAAGUGAUGGUAACCUUCAAACAUCCGCAACAUCAGAGCGUACGGUGUCUACACCUCCACCCGCAAUGUCAAAUAGUGCAAUGCAACCUCCGAAUUCUAAGAAGCGUAAGAAUCGGUCGGAGUCAUGGGAUCAUUUCACGGUAGAAUGUCAGAUAGAAAAGAAAGCUAAAUGCAACUACUGUCCACAAAUCAUUAGGUUUGGUGGUGGAACUACUUCAAUGGGAAAGCAUACAGAGAGAUGUGAUGGUUACAAGAGGUCAUUGAUGAGUGCUGAUGAACAUCUGGACUUUCCCUUAGUUCCCAAGUUUGACCAAGAGGCUAUUCGAAGAGCAUUGGUGAAGAUGUUCAUCAACAUGGAAAUUCCAUUCAGGAAGGUAGAACAUGAAUCUUUUCAUGAGUUUAUGAGUCUUGCCUCACCUAGAUUUAAGUUGAUAUCACGAACUACACUUGCACGAGAUGUUUUGAAACUCUGGGACAUUGAAAGAUUACAGUUGAAAAAUUUUCUUGCUGAACAUUGUCAGAGGGUUUGCCUCACCACUGAUAUGUGGACUUCUUCUUGUCAGAAGAUGAGUUAUAUGUGUGUGACGGCUCAUUUUAUCGACAAUAAUUGGCGUUUGCAUAAGAAAAUUUUAAAUUUUUGUCAAGUUUCAAGUCACACAGGGGAGACUAUUUGUGCAACAAUGGAUAAGUGCUUGAAUAAUUGGGGCUUACACCGUGUGCUUAGCUUGACAGUAGACAAUGCCUCCUCUAAUGAUGUUGGAGUUAGGCGUCUCAAGAAAAGGCUUUUGUCUCGAGGUAGCUUAGUCAUGAAUGGAAACUAUUUUCACAUGCGUUGUUGUGCACAUGUCUUGAAUUUAAUUGUAAAAGAUGGUUUGGAAGAUAUGGAUGAAUCUAUUUUAAGAAUCCGUCAAGCUGUAUGGUACGUUAGGUCUUCUCCUUUGAGGCUUUCUAAAUUCAAAGGGCUCAUUGAUGAGCAGAGCGUUGGUGGUAAAAGUUCAGUUUGCUUAGAUGUUGAGACUCGCUGGAACACAACAUAUUUGAUGGCAGCAGCUGCACUUAAACAUGAGAAGACAUUUGAAGAGCUGUGUUUUCUGGAUCAGAAGUAUGUGAAUGAAUUGACAACGAAGGGAAAAGGUGUGCCGACUCAAGAUGAUUGGAAACGUGUCAGGGAAAUCCUUCCAUUCUUGAAAAUGUUUUAUGAUGCUACUGUACGCAUAUCAGGUUCGUCUUAUUUAACAAGCAAUAUUUAUAUGUUUGAGAUCCUUGGUAUUGGGAAAAGGAUAGUUGAAAUGUGCAGCUCUGAGGAUGUUCAUCUUCGCUCUAUGGCUCAAAGAAUGAAACUGAAAUAUGAUAAAUAUUGGGGAAAUUACAAGAGCCUUAACAUGAUGCUAUUGGUUGCUUUAGUAUUCGACCCUAGACGUAAGGUGAGAUUGGCUGAUUGGAUGAUAAGGCGGUUUUAUAAUGAGGAUGAUUCUGAUGCUUUGAUAGCAAUGUUAGAGUCUUGUUUGAAGUCUCUCUAUGAAGAAUAUUAUGACAGAGUUAUGCAUCCUCGAGGUAAUUCAGAAGCGCCGCAAGCUUUUAAUGGUGAUAGUGACCUCUACGGUACUUCAGAAUUUUAUCUUUCAGAUGGGUGUGGCACAUCAGAUAAUGAGUUGAAUACUUAUUUGAAUGAAAGCCUUGAGCGCAAUAUGGAGAUUAAUGUUCUAGAGUGGUGGAAAGUUAACUCUGGCCGAUAUCCAAUUCUUGCAAAAAUUGCAAGAGACGUUUUGGCUAUACCUAUUACAACUGUGGCGUCUGAAUCUACAUUUAGCACAAGUGAGAGAGUUCUUGACCCAUACCGUAGCUCUUUAACACCUACCACAAUUGAGGCACUUAUAUGCACUCAAGAUUGGCUCAAAGGAGCAUCUUCAUCCUUGAUUACAACCGAAGAUUUUGAGAAUCUUGAAUUGCUUGAGCAAGGUAUGAUAGAACAAGUUGAUACAUGAAUUAUUUUUAUUAUUACUUAUUAUACUUGAGCAUAAUGAUUUUUUUUAUAUCCUCUAUAGACAUUUGUCAAUCAGAAGAGGGCCCUAGUUGUUCAACUACGUCUACUUCUAUUGCAUUUGAAGAUGAUUGAAUGGUAAUUCAUUCAUUGUGCACCACUAUGUCUUCUCUCCUAUAAAAUUCAGCUUUCAUGCCUUCUUACUUGGAAAUCUUAAAAUGCUAUUCAUCUUCAAUCUCGUAAAACCUAAUGAUAGUUUCCUCUUGCAGAUUGUGUUGGUCUAUGUCAAGUUCUCAAUGAUGUUUUGGAUAGCAUGAGCAAGAAGGGCAUUUCUGGACCUAUUUGACUUCGAUAAAAAACCAGUUCAUAACAAAAUUUGGUUUAGGUAGCAUGAACCGGUUCUGAACUGGACUGAACUGUAUCGAACUGGUUUUUAAAAAAUCCAUUUAUUUUGUGAAAGUAGUUUUUUGAUCCAAAUUGUAUCCAUAAAUCUAGUUUGGAUACAAUUUGGAUAACCAUUUGCACACCCCUUUUCAUCCAUUAAUGUGCAGUCUUGCAAAAAUCAUUACUUCAAAUACAAAACCAAACUAACUUAGGAAAGGGUCGACCCAACAUAAAAGCGUGGUCAAUAUCUCCAUCAUCUCCAAGACAACAAACAUGACUUCAAAUGCAAAACCUUGUGCAGCAGCCUCCUAGCAAAAUGAAUAUGUUUGGGGAUGAACUUUAAUUUUCAUAUGUAUUUCCACACUUCACUACUACUCUUCUCCAUUUCUUCUUGAGGAGCUUUAUCUUCAAUUUGCACUUUUUUAUGCAGUGAUAGACAGAUUUUACCGUGAACUCUCUCUUUUAUUUGGUCCCCAAGUGAUGCCACCAGCAUGUCCAUAUUUGUAUUGCUUCAAAUGGUAAAAAAAGUUGGAAAUUCCAAGCACCAGUAUCAUGAGAUAUAAGAUGAGAGACCAAACUAACUUCAAACGGUUGGUUACGAGGAGACCAACUUUGUAGGUAUUCUGCAAUGGUAAUCAAUUGUCCUCUAAAGUAUGAAUGUUAGGCCGUAAGCACGAUCCUACAGUCUAGAGAUAUCCUUUUUUAUCAUCCCAGAAAAACUCAAGUCUCAUGUUGAAUAAACGAAAAGUUUAAUUAGAGUUUAUAAAGAAUGACACUCUUGUUUUACAGGCUGGUUUUAUAAGAAUAUGUUAAACAUAACUAAAAAGACCUAAUACGAGCAUUGUGAAUGCCCUGCCAUGUAAAGCUAGGAGAAAGACUGAUUUACUUUUGAAAAAUAUAUCGCGUUUUACUAAUGGAAAUAACUGAAACCAUAUUAAACUUCGAGUAAUCCGCCAUUUUGAUUUUCAAGAUGGUAGGGAUAUAGACAAUUCAAGACCUAAAUUGAUGGAAAAAUUAACUCACAUCAAAUUAGUUUUGAGGUUGAGUGAGAAAGAUCGGAUAAAUUAAGUAAUAAGGAGAAUAAUAACAAAAAAUGUUGAAGAAGAUUUGGUACACAAGAUGGAAAUAAUAAAUUGCUAAACUUAUGAGAAAAAAGAAGUGAGAGAAACAAUAUUAAUAAACACAAUACUAACAGUGUGAAACAAAGUUAAACACACACAAAAGAUCAUGAUUGGUUAGACUUAUAUAUUUAUCUAUUAAAGCCUUAAUUUCUUCGUAGUUCUUGGACCGAAUCAAACUUUUUUGAAUAUCUUUGAAGGAUUCGACCAAGGAAGCAUCCAAAUCGAUUUGUCAUUUCAAAUUAUACUGACUAAAUAUCAAGAACAUGGUUCUCACGUCGUCGUCGUUAAUGAGCUUCAUAUGGGUGAACUAGGCGCUUCUAGUUGAGUCAGUCGGAUCUUCGAAAGAUCCAACCAAGGAAGCGUCCAACUCGAUUGGUCAUUUCGAACUAUACUGACUAAAUAUCGAGAACAUGGUUCUCACGUCGUGUUGUUCAUGAGCUUCAUAUGGGUGAACUGGAUGCUUCUAGCUGAGUCGAUUGAUGGACGUCGAUACAUAACACCGCCCACCCUCUUUGUGUCUCUGUGGUUGAGUCGACAAUUAAUUUGGUCUAGUUGAUCUUUCAAUCCAGAUAGUGUAACAUCAAACCAUCAAUCUGAACCCUGAACAUAUUGGGUUUUUUCCGUUGUAGUAAAUUGCGGUUAACUUGGUGUUCAGAUCAAUAAGUAAAGUGGUCAUGAUUAUUGGUGUGGUUUACUACAAAUGUCAAACACACAAAUUUAUAGAAGUUUGCAUGUGAACCACAGAAAAAUAUUGUACUUCGCAGAUUUGAUCAUAAAAUCUAAAAUGUCCCCAAACCUACAAAGUAUGGGUUUUAGCAUAGUCUUAAACUAGUUUAGAUUAAAUAAUUCGAACAUUUCUUGAAUUUGUUUGGAUUAAAUAUUCUGAAUCAACUUAGAGUGUGGACAGUAGCUUGGUCUACAAGACCAACUCAUUUAAAUGUGUUUUUUUGGGUCCCUUGACCUGUCAGACCACUUUGACCAUGUUUUUUUUUUUUUACCCUAAUUAAAUGGCCGUUACACUCUAUGCAUGAUCAAUUUUUCACAAAUACCUACUCAAAGCUAAUUUAUAAAUUUUAGCACCUACAUUUCAAUUUCACACUUUUAGUUCAUCAUUUGAGUAUGCUAUAUUAUUCUUACAAGUACAAUUAAUUAAAACAUAUAGCUAUGUAUUAUUAUUUUUUCAACUUGGUAUCAGACCCAAGAACCGACCAAUUUUAGCAGGGGUCAAAUUGUGAAGUCAGAGUAAAGCUCCGUAUGAACUGAACCAACACUUUAAAAUUAGAGUGUGUUGUUUUGCAUAUGUUCUGUUUUUGUUGAAACAAAUAUGAUUUAGGGUGUGUUGUUAUAGAAAAAAAUGAGUCUACGUGGAUGAAGAAAUGGCCUUUUUUUUAUGUUGCCUUUCUGAAUGAGAGACGUGGCCUUUUGCCUUGAAGAAGACUUGCAUGUCACAUUCAGACAGGCAUUAAUAUGUAGCGCUGUAUUUUUAAAUUUCGUGGUGCUUUUUCAAACUACGUAGCUAGCUUUUAAAUUUCCUGCUAUUUAAUUCCUUUGAAUCAACUGCUUAGUACACAGAUAGGCAUUAAAGGAAGAAACAUGAAACUUGAUAGACAAGGCAAAUUAUUUUGAACAGUAAAAAAAUAUCCGGCAUCCUCUCUUGUCAAUGUAUUUUUUUUUAGUAGUAGUAUUUCGUCUUAAUUACUUACUUUUAUUUUUGUCUUUGGAUUCAUACUUAUGUAUUGUUUUCUUUGUUGAAUUGGCAGAUAUUUUUGUGCUUUCAAGGACAAAUGGGUAAGGAAAAGGCUCAGAUUAACAUUGUUGUCAUUGGCGAUGUCGACUCUCGGAAGUCAACUGAUCUACAAACUUGGAGGUGUUGACAAGAGUGUCAUUGAGAAGUUUGAGAUAGAAGCUGCUGAAAUGGGUAAGACUUCAGUCAAGUAUGCCUGGAUCCUUGACAAGCUCAGGGCUGAACGUGAAAGAGGUAUACCAUUGAGAUUUCUCUCUGGAAGUUUGAGACAACAAAGAACUGCUGCGUUGUCAUUGAUGUCCCGGGACACAAGAAUUUCAUUAAGAACAUGAUCACUGGGACGUCCCAAGCUGAUUGUGCUCUUCUUAUCCUUGACUCCCGUAUUGGUACUUUUGAAGUUAGAUUGUGGAGGAAGUUUCAUCCUAUUUGAAGAAGGUUGGCUAUAACCCAGAAAACAUUCCAUUUGUUCCCAUCUCUGGUUUUGAGGGAGAUAACAUGAUCGAGCGCUCUACAAACCUUAACUGGUACAAGGGUCCAACCCUUCUUGGGGCCCUUGACCAAAUCAACGAGCCUAAGAGGCCUUCAGACAAGCACCUCCGACUACAAUGUCUACAAGUUUAGAGGAAUUGGAACUGUACCUGUGGCACGUGUUGAGACUGGUGUCUUGAAACCUGGAAUGGUGGUGACUUUUGCCCCUACUGGACUGACAGCUAAAGUCACGUCUGUGGAGAUGCGCGAUAAACCUAUGGUGGACGUCUUGUUCAAAGAAAAACCUCUGAUGGAAUACCUUCCCGGCGACUGUGUGAGAUUUAAUGUUGAGAACGUUGAUGUUAAGGAUCUCAAGAGUGGCUAUGUUGCCUCUAACUCCAUGGAUGACCCAGCCAAGGAGGCCGCUAACUUUACAUCUCAAGUCGUCGUCAUGAAUCACCCUGGCAAGAUUGAAAAUGGCUAUGCACCUGUUCUUCACUGCCACACCUUCCACAUUCUUGUCAAGUUUGAUGAGCUUGUUACCAAGAUUGAUAGGCGUUCUGGUAUGGUGAUUGAGACGAAGCCCAAAUUCCUGAUGAAUGGUGAUGCUGGUAUUAUUAAGAUGAUUCCCACCAAGCCCAUGGUGGUUGAGACUUUCUCUGAAUAUCCUCCACUUGGCCGUUUUACUAUCAGGGACAAGCGUCAAACUGUGGCUGUUGGUGUCAUCACGGCUGUGGAGUAGAAGGAUCCCAGUUGUAACACCCCGUUUUCCCAAUAUACAAAUUUCUUAAACAAUUAUCAGAGUAAAAACCAUAAACGGGAUAUCACAUAGAAACGUAAUCCAAAACAGUUAAAUAAUGAUUUAACCUUCACAAAUAUCUUUAACAUAGCAGCGGAAAAUCAUAAACAUAAAUCAUAAACGUUUUCGGCACGCAGGCCCAAUAAGUAUCUCAAAAGAGUUUAUCAAAACAUAAGCAGUUCACGUAAAAGAAUGAAGCAUGUUAUAGCAUUAAACCCCAUCCCGUUACGUAUCAGAGCGACCUAGACGACACAGUGAAGGCAAGGCCAACUCACGAAGCAACUGCACACUAAGCACGAUCACCUGCAAGUUACCCAUACGAAGGGCAACAUUUUCAAGCAGAAGGGGUGAGAUUUCAUAAUAAAAUAACAUUAAUCAGUGUAAUUGUGAAUCAUAAAUUAACAUCAAUCAUUCCAUUAUUAACUUUGCAUAAAUGCUAAACAGUUAUCACGUAAUCACAUAUCCAAUCAUUAUAAACAACAUAACAUAAUCAAAUAACACUUAUCACAUAAUCACAUAUCCAUUCAUUAUCAACAAGGCAUCUUAAUCAUGACAAUGUGACAAUGCUCCUAGACUCCUUAUAUGCAUGUGGUACCAAUCGUCAUCAUAAGUAUUAAUAUACUUUAAUCGUGCGGAGGACAAAGCUCCUAUAAAACGUGCGGAGGACAAAGCUCCUAAUUUUCGUGGUGAGGACUAAGCUCAAUGAUAUGCUAUGCAUGGACACAUAUGAACAAAACAUCAUAAUCAUCGUAAUCAUGUGCAUUCAAUAACUUGAUGCAAAACGUCAUCAUUUUCCUUAUAUUCAUAUAUAAACAUUGCAUACUCAGUUAAAUAACAGCAGCAGCAUAGUCAAGUCGCAUAACAGCAAGGAGAUAUCAAUAUAUCAACAACAAUUUACUAGAAUCAUAAUCAUUUCAAUUAUAUCUUACAUAUUGCAUAAUACCUUAAUCAUGCUCAAAUAAUAUCAACUUAACUCAAUAGCUUUACAGACUGCAUUAAACGUUAUCAUAAGGUUUCAUUACCAAUUAGGGGUUCACUCUGGACUAAAAAGUGCGACACAGAUCGCACAAACACAUAAUCAAGUUCAUCCUGGUUGUACUCGCGAGGCGAGAGUACUUACUCGCCAUGGCGAGCACCACUCAACUCACAAACUAAGCUUGUUCUAGGUUCCCUCUGAUCCUACAUUCAUUCCUAAUCAAUACUAGGUAAGUUCAGGUACUCAAAGGCAUACAAGAUUCAACUAAAAAGGUCGAAACACGAAAUAUGACAUGCACUCUGCCUAAGCUCGCGAGGCGAGGAAGGUUGCUCGCCAUGGCGAGUUGCACCAAACAACUCGCGAGGCGAAGGAAAGGGGCUCGCGUGGCGAGCGAUGAAGUUCACCACUCGCGAGGCGAGGAUCAUCACUCGCCGUGGCGAGCGAUGAACAGAAGCACGGGCAGACUAGGGUUUUUCUCAAAAAUCCAUCACACAACAUGGUUCAAAGCCUAAUUUUGAUUCCAGAAUUCAUCCUAAACAUAUUCUAAGGUUAUAGGACGGUUCUUACAUCAAUCUAAACAAGUUUUACCGUUUGAUCAUCAAUUUUUAGGGUUUUAACCUAAUUCCAAAACUUUUCUAAAUCAAUCCUAACUUUGUCAAUUAAUCAUCAGAAUUACAACAAUCAAUGCUAUUGAAUUACUAGUCUCACCCUUACCUGGUUAUGAAGAAAUCGCAGCACUCUACCUUGGUUCCUCUAGACUUGGCUUUUUCUUCCCUUUUCCAAAAGUUUUCACGUACAAUGAGUUUCUAAAAUAUUAGGUCUUCUCCUAUUUAAACCUCUUUCUAAUAACUUAUCUUAUCUCACUUUCUCCCCCAAAACUAUCUAAAAUAUCAAAACAGCCCUCAACUAAAUAUUUUUCAAAUCUUUAUCUUAUUUAACAAUAAAAUAAAUUCUAUAAUCUUAUCAAUUCCUCCAAAACUCAUAACCUAACACGUCAUCAAUCAAAUCACCAAAAUCACCACAAUUUAUCAAAACAUAUCAAAAUCAUACAUAUAUUAUAUAAAUAUAAUAUAAUCACUUAAACUCGAUUAAAUAACUAUUAAACGAAAGUGGGCGUUACACCAGUGGAGGACUUUAGCAGACUAACUCAGCAUUGAAGAAUAAGGGAACCGUGCAGGAUGAUCUAUCGUCUUGAUUACAGUAAAUGGUUUGGUCUUCGUAAUACUACCAUAUCUGGUUUAGUUAACUUGUUUUUCAGAUUAAGUGUCAAGUCUGCACCGUCGUCUCGCAGCCCUUGUUCCCAGGAUUGGGUUCUAUAUCGACUGUGGCAAGGCUUUUUCUUUUUCAUGCUUAUGCUUUAAUAUGUGUUCAGUUAGAACUAUUUCUAUUUUGUAAGCAGCUAGACUGCUGAUUUGAUUUAGUAAUAUCGACUUUAUUUUUGUUUUUUAAGUGCUAAUUUUAUGUUGCUGGGGCAUUUAUCCGCAUGAUUAUUUCUCACCAUCAUAGCACAUAAACGUACGUGUGGUGUUUAUGUGGUGAUCACAUUGCGCUUAGAAUGGAUUAUUUGUUAUACUUGUUCUCUGAUUUUUAUUUUUGUUUUUGCUGCUUGGAAUGUUUCGAUUUCGUUUGUCAGGGAUGAAGUGAAUAUUUUUAGUUCAAGAAUUUGUUUAGUCUGUAGUAUAUCAUGUCUGUUGAUUGAUUGUGUUUUAUUAGUCAGAAAAAUUCAUAUGAAUUAAAAAAAAAGUAAGCUUCAAGCCAUGUAACUUAACAUCUAUACUAACACAUACCAACUAUUUUAUGAGCUAUAGCAACAAAAUAUAGACAUGCUGCUGAGUGAAAAACAAAAUAAGUUGAUUGGGUCUGUGUUGGUAUAAAUGUAUCUUGUUUUUAGUUUUUUGCCGCUGCUACAGUUUGCGAGUGUUACUAACGAGAUUCCUUAUUCCCCACUGCAAAACCAAAAUCACUGCCUUAAUACCUUUGCUCAGUUUUCUGCUUCAAAUUAGAAUAUUCUGCUCCAAUAUAAAUAGUUGAGGUAUUUUACAAUGCUUGAGAAAUGACUAUGUUGCCUCUUGCUAGAGAAACCCAAUUGAAGAAAGUGCAAAAGUUCGAGAAAAAAAUUAGUCAUAGUUUUAAGACUUGUUUAUGAGUGACAGCGAGCAACAAAAGUUUCUUCAUGAUAGAGUGGCUAUCCAUUAACCUGGUGCCAUGGUCUCCUAAACUUUCUACAUUACUUAUUUUACACUGUUGUUUUAACGAAGGUGCGACUCUUGUUUUAUUUAACACUGUUAAUUUAUGAAAAUAAUUGGUUACAUAAAGCAUUUGCCAGGUCCUUCAAUUGUGACACUCUAGCUCUGCCACCGCAUCCAUCGUUGACAUGGCUGGGAGCAAAGUCUUAUAGUGGGAACGACACGGGUACUUGUAAUCACAAUCAUUAGUAAAUAACUAAAUGAUUGAUAUACAUGUUAUCUGGUAAACUUCACCUAAACUUGCUGUUUAUUCUAAAAUAGACUCUCUGUUUUUUUGACGAAAAGCUAAUUUCUUUAAUUAUCACUGCAGUCGGCAGCUAAAAAAUCAUCAAUACGUUGAGGAGUUCCUUCAAUCUAUAUUGAAUCAUGAUGACAGAGAGCGAAUUUGCAUUAGUAUGAGCUACUUUAUUGCCCUCUCUUUUUAACAUGAGACUUAAUGAUAUUAUGUAAUUUUUUUUUUGUACAACAUUUUACACUCUGAGACGAUGCAACCAAACCAAAGUAAGUUGAAGUAUCUUUAGCUUUUUUCAAAGCUUUCAUCACUUCUUUAAAGAAACCAAGGUCCAGUAUAAAUUCUAAGCCAAGGUGGAUAGCCAUACCUCGUGCCGAGUCUGAAUCUAGUACGACCUCAUUAAAUGAAGUCGCACUCGCACCUGCAUAUAGUGCUCUUUUCAUCACCAAUCACAGCUCGAAUUCCCCUAUUUACCUUGUAGUGGAUCUACUGCAUCAACAUUUAAUUUAUACGAUUACAGUCUGAGAGUGUUGCAUUUGUACUCUGCUGCCAUUCCCUAAGAUUUUUUCACAUAGGGAUACAAUGAGCUCACUAACCUCCGGCUAAUCCUGCAUAAUAAUUUUCUCCAGCCAAGUGCAAAAAUCAUCUUCUACAUUAUCAAAGUUGAUUCCAAGAGGAGAAGAGAACCAAACUAACUUAGCAAAGGGACACAACAUGAAAGCAAUGUCAAUAUCUCCAUCACUUCCAAGGCAACGGGGACAAGAGGCAGGAAUAGAACAUCCACGGGACAAUAAACAUGACUUCAAGGGAAAAAACCUUGUGCAGCAGUAUUCUAUAAUAAGUCUUAUCCAUUGAUGUUUAUGGAAAUCUUCAAUUUUGCACUUUUUUAUGCAGCGAUAGACAGAUUUUACAGUGAACUCCCCCUUUUAUUUGGUCCCCAAGUGAUGCCACCAGCAUGUCCAUAGGAUGAUAAGGGUAAUUGGAUGUAUUGCUUCAAAUGGUAAAAAAUCUCAUUAAUGAGUUGGAAAUUCCAAAGCACCAGUGUCAGGAUAUAUAAGAUGAGAGAUCAAACUUAACUUGUAAUAAAAAUAAAUAUUGAAGAAGAUUUGAUAUAGAGUAUAAAAUGAAAAUAAUAAAUUUCAUUACUGAUAAGAAAUCCUCUAAAAAAAGUUACUGAGAGAAGAGAAGUGAGAGAAAAAGGGACAUGUAGAGGGAGAAACAAUUUUAUAUAACUAGAACACUUGACUCUAAGUUUUGAAUUUCCUAUUUAUUUGUUCAUUGUCCCAAGCUUAUUGAGUUUACCAAGAGACAAAUAAAUGUAGUGGUCCAUCAGUUGGGAGCUUCGAAAAUAAUUUCUCUUCCAAAAUAAUCCUUGAUCCUAUUAUUAUACAUAUGAUUAUGAAUUUUUUUUUUUUUGAGGAAUCAUAUGAUUAUGAUUAUAAUUUACUAAAAUGUAAUUGUUUGAAUUGAACCAAAGUUUUGCGGAUGGCCACAAAGUUUAGAUAGCAGGUUCGCUUGUUUCUUGUUGCAUGAGUUUGGUUUGAUAUACAAUAGGGUGAACGAUCAGGACAUUGUGCAAUUGACAUUCAAAAAUGAUCCUGACAUUCUUGGCAACGAUAUUGCCUAAAACAUAGAGACAUGCCCCAGCAAAAGCUUAAACAUCACACCAAGGAAUAAACACAAAAAUAAAGAGUUAAUAUUUAGAAACAGAGUCAGCAAGUUCUGGAACUUACUGCUUGCUUACAAAAUCCAAGUUUCAGACUAGACACAACAAUUAAAGCAUAAAAACAAAACAGAUAGAGCGCUGCCACCGUCGAUCUAGAACCCAGUUCUGAGAACAAAAGCUAAGAGAUGAAGGUGCAGACUUGACACUUAAUAUGAAAAACAAGUAAACUAGACGAGAAAUAGAAAUACUAAGGACCCAAGACCAUUUAUUGUAAUAACUAUGAUAUGCUUCCCAAGUAGAUAGACCAUCCUGCUCAGUUCACUUCUUC
rnacentral:lncRNA from 1 species